AUGGUGAGUCUCUGGAGGCCGUGUGUCCUGUGCGGUGCACAAGGGGACCAAGUUCUGUCUCCAUGAAUCCCGGUGGCCAGACCUGCUCAUGUCUCAGCAUUUCUCCACAACAAACCUACCCCAGGAUGGUGUAGAACACAGCACAUUCACCUGUCACCAAACCACCGUUCCGGGUCUAAGGCUGCCUCUCUCCACCGGAUUGGUGAAAGGGUGGUCAGUGUUUUGCUCUUGGGCCUAAUUCCAGCUGCUUAUUUGAAUCCUGGCUCUGGGACCUUGGACAAAUGGUUACUAUGUUGAAGGGGACGCUUUGCAGAAAGCUGCCGGGGCAGGCGUUUUGGCACUCUCUGCUCUCAUCCUCACUGGGCUUUGUUAUUUCAACUCUCAUGACGUGGGCGUCUGCAAAGCUCUUGCCAUGCUCUGGAAGCUCUGCCCUUUUUGACUUACAAACUUUCGAGAAUGGAUUAUACACCUCUUUGCCUCUGCUCUGUCACGCUGUUCAACUCACAAUAAGGAGGAAAUAACAGAUAAGCCCACGGGCAAGACAGGCCUCCUCGGAUCACCUGGUUAUUUUUUAGAAUUUAGUCUCUGAGGACAAGGUUCUAGAGGAAUUGUAUCCAAGAAAUUUGGAGACUGAGUACCUUAUUCUGCUGAGUUUAUGGGGUUGUCUCCCAGCUUCUCACAAAAUUCACAGUAUAACUAAACAUUAUAUAUGAGCUUUUGCCUUUUAGUUUAUCAAAUUCUUGAAGGGAAUUCAGCUUUAUUACUAUCAAUACCUGAUCAAACUUCUGUUUUUGU